GACGAACCGUGCGAACGUUGUUCGGAAUCACUGGGCUUAAAGGGCGCGUAGGCGGGCACGCAAGUCAGGGGUGAAAUCCCACGGCUCAACCGUGGAAGUGCCUUUGAUACUGUGUGCCUCGAGGGAGGUAGGGGCGUGCGGAACUUCCGGUGGAGCGGUGAAAUGCGUAGAUAUCGGAAGGAACACCGGUGGCGAAAGCGGCGCGCUGGAUCUCUACUGACGCUGAGGCGCGAAAGCCAGGGGAGCAAACAGG
rnacentral:rRNA from 1 species